GGUCAUUUUGGUAUUUUGCCUUCUUUAGUUGAUACCAAGUCGGCAAAUUAGCCAGUCAUUUGAAUGGAAAGCUGACUUUGGGGGUGGGACGGCUUUUGUGGAGAAAAUCUGCAUGGCCGGUGCUAGCCUCCUGUUGAAGUAGAUAGGUCGAUUUUCUAGGGGAGUCGGGAUGCAGUCAGUGGUCAGGCUGAAGGUUUUUGACUUCUUUGGAAAGUCAGAUCCCAAGCCA
rnacentral:lncRNA from 1 species